rnacentral:rRNA from 1 species
UACAGAGGUCCCGAGCGUUGUUCGGAUUCAUUGGGCGUAAAGGGUGCGUAGGCGGCGGGGCAAGUCUGAUGUGAAAUCCUGGGGCUCAACCCUGGAACUGCAUUGGAUACUGCCUUGCUAGAGUACUGGAGAGGAAACUGGAAUUCCUGGUGUAGCGGUGGAAUGCGCAGAUAUCAGGAGGAACACCGAUGGCGAAGGCAGGUCUCUGGGCCAUUACUGACACUGAGAAGCGAAAGCAUGGGGAGCGAACAGG